GCCUUGGUUGUGAUAUGGUAGACACGCGAGACUCAAAAUCUUGUGUUAAAGAGCAUGGAUGUUUGAUUCCUCUUGAAGGCA
rnacentral:tRNA from 1 species